UUGAAAGGGAAACGAUUGAAGUCAGUCGUACCAGCGGGAAAUCAACCUUUCGAGUGGGGGGUUUUGGAGUUUUGAAGAGUGUCAAAACCUUUGAGAUUUCAAAAUAUUCGCUCUUUUGGUGUACUUUCUCGUGGGUAGGUUAACAUCGAUUUUGAUCAUCAUAAAAGGACUGGAGGAAUGUAGCUUCGAUCUUGUAUUGAAGUGUUAUAGCCUUUGGUAAAUGUGAUGAUUAGGAUCGAGGAUUGCAACGAAUACCCUUCUGGGCUAUCCGCCUGAUCUCUGAUACGUGGCCUUGGCAUCGAAAGCUUGCUUAUGGUAUCAAGGUAUUACGGUCAAAAGGUUAGAACGGAUUACAUUCGUUAAGGAUGUUGACGUA
rnacentral:rRNA from 1 species